AGCAGGCUGCGGCUUCCCAAAUGACAAAUUCGAAGUUUCUUUUUAAAAAAUGCACAUCUGCCGUAGCUCGUAGGUUUUUUCCCAAUUGAAGAACAAGUACCUGAUGAGUGAUUAAGUGAAUUUGGUCAUUCAACUGCAGUUUCAAGUUAAAGUUACUGCUGAAGCUAGGUAUUCUCGGUUUGCUUAUCUUGUUCGUGGCAAUGAUCUUGUGGCCUGAAACAGCUCUACAUCUUUCCAAAAUGUCGUCUCUUGCUGCAUGUACCGGGUGUACGAUUCGUCACAUGCAGAAAUACUUCAGAACAGUUAGUGAUUUUAUUGAUCAAAAUUUUAGCCCUAAGCCUGGUGAAGUCUGAGCUUCUUCAUUGCAGUCUACUGUGCAAAUGGAUUUGUUGCAGCUAGCUGGCGAAAGGUGUUUCUCUUGCAGACUUGCUACCUGUACCAGAUGUAGCUUUUGUCACAUGCAGAAACACUUCAGAACAAUUUAAAGAUUCAAAUGCACAGCCUCCUGAGGUCUGAGCCUCUUUUUUGCAGUCCAUCGUGUAAAUGAAUUUGUUCAGACAGCUAGUGAAUGGUGUGGUGAGCUGUUGCAUGCAGGCUGUGGUGCUGGUGUCAUUCGUUGAUUUAACUAUGGACCGUUCAGUCGUUUGUUUAUCAUUUCAUGAUCGGUUUUGUGUUUGAGCUGUUUAUGUAUGCUGCAUGGGGAUGGGGUACAGUGGUUAUGCAGUCAUUUUCCAGUUGAGAGAUGCGCUGAAAUGAAGCUCGUGCAGACUUGCAGUUGAAAAUCAUUCUUUAAAGUUUAAAGUGUCGUUUGCCCAUGUUGGUGUCCAUUCAGUAUAUUCAGUGUUGUGAAAAAUAGUCGAUGUUGCCUGAUGGCUGCCGGGCUUAUUUUAUCGGCAGCAUUUUGUCGAUAUGUCGUCUCUUGCUACCUCUAUCGCCGUUGAGUUGAUUCGUUUGCCGCCGUUCCUUAGACUUGAUCCACCGUUGAAACUAAGAAGACGUUGCUGAAAUUCAAGAUUGAUUAAUAAGUUAUGUAUAUAAAUUACAAGUGCAUAAUCUGGGCUCCCUUCUUCAGUGGCCCCGUUUCCCUAAAUAACCACUAACCAACGCCCG